CGCUGCUUGUACGCUUUUUACAUCAUCACAAAUUAUGAAAGGUGUGCCGUGUAAUCGUGUAAAAGUGUUGCUGGAACGCGUCUCAAGACAGAACUAUUUAAGACAGAACUUAACACUUAUAAAUUAAAGGGAUGAAACUAAAAAAGCAUUAGACAAUUUAAAAUAAAGAUCUCACAUACACAUUUUGACUGUUUUGACAAGUUUGAUCAUCAUCAGUUAAUUUCAGCUGCGUAAGAGCUCCAGCUGUUUUAACUUUUCAUGACUCCGAACAGAUCUUGGACUCAUCCAUGUUGUCUCAAUACUAUCAUUUAAUUUUUAGUUUCGUAUAAAAUUGUGGAAAGAUUCCCAGAUUUUUUUUUAUGAGCGCAGCGUGUGUGGAUUUUCCUGCCAGCCAACUUGUAAAAUUGUGUUUGAACGCAGCAGGUAAUAUUCAGUAUCACGUGUAGAUCUUGCAACCAGCACACAACCUGUGUAAGUGAUCCUCAUGCAUAUAAUGAAACUGCUUCAUUAUGUUUUCUGCUCCUCGGUAUGUUCUUCUCUGCCCUUUAAUUUAUACUGUUUAUAUAUGUUUAAUUACGUGUGACGACCCUGCUGGUUCCUGGUCCCCUGUGUCGUCUUUCUUUUGUUUCAGGUGCCAGUGGGUGUGGUCUGUGGGAUCGGGGUCUGAUUGACAGUGGAUUUCUCAAAAAGCUACUAUCCCGGAGUGGGACGUCCCAUAAUCCCCCCUGAAGAUUGAUCAGACAGCGACACCUAGUGGUAGUGUGAUGGGACUGCAGCAGGAUCCAGGAUCGCAGCAGGUUUUCUCUGCUGCGAAAGUGUUUCUCAACUCUUCCGGUUUUGAAGAAUGACGUAAGCAAAACCAGACCAAACUGGCUCUGUAUCUCAUGUCGCUCUCUGUCUUUCUCUCACUCCCUCUCUCUACCCACUCCCUGAUCUCCCAUAGUGUCUCUCUACCAACACACUCUGACCCCAACCAACCCCCUCCGACCCCUGAGGGGCCAGAGAGUGUCCUGGAGGACUGCCGGAGGAGGGGCCUAGUCAGCCUUUUGUUCCCGCUUGCAUAGCCAUCCAAUCCCUAUCGUCUGACGUAGACCUAAUGUGCCUAAAUUUCCCAUCAUGCCCUCGUAACACUGAUGAUGUCCAAAAGAACCACCUUGGGUCGUACAACAGUGGGUCACACUGGGCCAAUAGGCCUACAGGUACAAAACUCAAAGUACAGCACCCAGCCCAGGCGGCUCUCUAGUGUUGUCUUGUAUCGAUAAUAAGCAGUUUAACUGUUUCUAGCAGCCACCAUGAGUCAGGGAGGUGAUGGGACAUAGCCCUAUAUAUUCAGACAAGGUUUUUAAAGAUAUUGUGUUAGUUCUCUAACACAUCUAUUAAAAUUGGAACGAUACAGAGAAGAUUAGCAUGGCCCCUGCGCAAAGGAUGGGGCCCGAUGUUCGGGGGGCCCCCGUGUGGCCAAAGCGCCUCAAUGCAGCUCAAAGCAGCGCGGAGAGGGAAUCAAAACAAUCAGAUCAAAAUAACCACUGGCACCCUCUGCCGGCCGCGCGCUGUAAUCGCACUCAAUCCGAGGAGCGUUACACCUCCUCCUCUUGUGUUUGUGUUAUGUUAUAUCCAUAUCUAGUUAAAGAUGAAAUAAGAUCGAUU